GGGGAUAUAGCUUAGUGGUAGAGCACAUGUAUGAGAUCUUAGGUUCAAUCCCUAGCAUCUCUA
rfam:Alligator mississippiensis ScZkoYb_58, whole genome shotgun sequence.